UCCUGACCCUCACGUACACUCCCCUUUCCUUCUUUAAGAUCCCUCCGUUACCGUCUCCUCCCUCAACGUCGUCUUCGGCCAUCUUCUUUUACAUGAUUUUUUUUAUUUUUGUCCAUUUUAUCGAAUUUGCCGAUUUUCUUCCUUAAUUUUUUACAACUAGGUUCUACAGCUUUUGGUUUGAAAACAAAGGAAGGCGUGGUGCUUGUCGUUGAGAAACCGUGGAAAAAAUCAUGGAAAUUGAUGAGCAUAUUGGAUGUGCAAUGAGUGGAUUAAUUGCUGAUGCUCACACACUUGUUGAACAUGCUCAAGUUGAGACCCAGAACCAUCGAUUUUCAUAUGGUGAUCUAAUGACUGUGGAGUCUACAAUGCAAGCUCUUUGUGAUCUAGCCCUAAGAUUCGGUGAAGGCGAUGAGGAGUCCAUGGUUAUUAUCAUAACGUUUUUUCUACUCAGUUUACUCUCUUUUCUCACUUUCUGUUAAAUUAAUCUAAACUGGCUUUAAAGUGGCAAUGACUUAGCACCAUUUAUUUCAUUACCUAGCGUCCAUUCAAAGUAUAGAUUAGAUUUCAGAAAAUAUCAUGGAUCCUAUUAGUAAUUCUGAUCAACAGAUUCAGGAAAGGAGGAGAAUUAAUGAAAUCUUUUUAACAUGUUGUGGGUUGGCAUUAUGCAGCCAAUUGAUUGUCCCUAUCCUUGUGAUAGAACUUGCCACCAAUUGGUUUUUAGAAGUGGUUAGCCUCAAAGGCUGGUUUCUUCAUUCAUGCAAAUCAUUUUUUUUCUUUUGGUACGUUGUUGAAGGCACAGUCAUAUUGCAAUUUGAUUAAGAAGUCAAUAAACAAGAAAGAAGCUGCUGAGAUGACAAAUGUGAUCUGCAGUUCUGGAAACUUAUUUCAACAUAGAAGAACAUUCGAUUAAAGGGUUUUUUAGUUUUGUGGGUUGAACUUGAAGUGGGUACCUGUAAAUGGAGAAUGGUGAUGAGUUCAAUCAGAUUUCUAAUGCUAAAUAUGAAUGUCUUCUCUUUGGUAUAACAUUUUCAAGUUCAAAGUUGGAUUGGAAAGUUUUUUAUAACGAAGAAUUAUAUAUUUACUUUCAGAUCUAGAUGACACUCUUUAUCCUUUUAACUCUGGUUUGGCAAAGGAAAUCACAACAAAAUUCAAGAGACAUAUUGACACAAAUGCAGAUAUCAUUGUUUCAUGCAUAGGAAUGAUAGGUUUUGCAAGAAUCCAUUAGAGCAGUAAAGCCAUAUUUGCGGCAACUGAUUGAUUUUUUAUAGGCCUUUUUGUAGGUUUGGUAACUAAAUUUUGGUUCUAAUGUACUUAUUUAAAUAGCUUGUUCAUUGUUUCAUUGUACAAACACUUUACAAACAAUUGUACAUAUAUUAAAGUAUAUAUAUUAAAGCGUUCACCAUUUCUUUUCA